rnacentral:rRNA from 1 species
UACAGAGGUCUCGAGCGUUGUUCGGAUUCAUUGGGCGUAAAGGGUGCGUAGGUGGCGCUGUAAGUCGGGUGUGAAAUCCUGAGGCUUAACCUCGGAACUGCAUUCGAUACUGCGGUGCUUGAGGACUGGAGAGGAGACUGGAAUUCAUGGUGUAGCAGUGAAAUGCGUAGAGAUCAUGAGGAAGACCAGUGGCGAAGGCGGGUCUCUGGACAGUUCCUGACACUGAGGCGCGACAGCGUGGGGAGCGAACAGG